CCACGUCAAACUGAUGAGUUGCAUAGUUCAUAUGACUUUACAAUGAUAUUUUACUUGUUGAAAAUGGUCUUUCACCCCUAUCUGAAUGCAUGACGAAC